rnacentral:rRNA from 1 species
UACGUAGGGGGCAAGCGUUGUCCGGAUUUAUUGGGCGUAAAGAGCGUGUAGGCGGCCAAACAGGUCCACUGUGAAAACUCGAGGCUCAACCUCGAGAGGUCGGUGGAAACCGUCUGGCUAGAGUCCGGAAGAGGAGAGUGGAAUUCCCGGUGUAGCGGGUGAAAUGACGCAGAUAUCGGGAAGAACACCCGUGGCGAAGGCGGCUCUCUGGGACGGUACUGGACGCUGAGACGCG